GGAGGGUACAGCUCAAGUGGUAGAGUGCAUGCUUAGCAUGCAUAAGGUCCUGGGUUCAAUCCCCAGGACCUCCU
rnacentral:tRNA from 1 species